GAGUGGUGACGUUUGACCGAUGGAUGUGAUGACUGAGUAGGAGGAAGAACAGAGUUUCUGGGGACGAAUGAUAACGUUCCUAAUAUGGAUGCUGUACUGCACGGCUUCUUUUUGCCGCCGGCCCUAAGCUGUCGGCUAUAGGUGCGUCCUGCUGGCGGGGAAUACGUCACUCCCAUUUCUUGCGAGAUGCCGGCAGCAAUUAGCCGGCGGUCUGACUGCUUAAUUUUCUCUGGCGGUUGCCUCGCUCUAAAGGACCGCGGUCGUCCGGCGGCAAGACGCUUUUAAAUACAAGGCUACUCUCAUCUUGGUUUGGACACACAUUCGCAUCAGUUCGUCACUCAAUCGCGAGUUACAGCCUGCAGCCUGCAGUUUGCUAGCUACAAAGUCAUCGACUACCAUCGUUUAAAUACCUUGGCCAGAGCAUAACCGGUUAUCUUCACCCAAGAGACCUACUGUUGGUCAAUCGUUUUGGCUUUAAAGGUAAAUGCAUUGUUAGUCACAAUGUCUAGUUACUGGGCCAAAAGGAAAAUACUAUUGAAAAGAGUUGAGAGGGACAAACAGGACAUUCACUUGAAUCACUACAUGCUACAGAAGUUGCAUUGAUUCCAGAAAACGAGGACAAUGUUGAGCCAUCUGUAGACGUCAGAGCUGGUAUGUAAAAUGUAUUGCUGCAGUGCUUAAUUUGUGAUCCUGUAACUAAACUAUACACUUUUAGAUUUUCUAAUUUCUGUUCCCUCUUUCUCAGAACCAGGUUUCUCCCCAGUAUUCCAGACUCCACUUCACAGAGCCAAGAGUUUGAGUACAAGUAAGUGAUGUUAUUUGUGACGUUUUUUGUCUUGGAAACUAUUGCUUCUAUUUAAGAUUAGGAAUCCUUUUAUCCAUAAUCUGUUUUUCAUUAAGGCACUUCACUUUCUGGAUAAAAGGUGUCGAGGUGUGUUGUACAUAUCAUUAGCUUUGCCCAGUUCAAUUAUUGUUUCAUUACUGAGUAUGCAAUCUCUGCAGUGAAAUUAAAGCUGUUAUGUUUGUUCCCCCAGCUCGUCAAGUACUAAGCUUUACACCACCAGCAGCAAAUUUACCCUGGCAGCAUAUGGGUGAAAACGCUGGAGAUUUCCAGAGACUCCAGAAUGAAAACCAAGCUCUGAGGGAGGAGAACCAAGCCCUGAGGGAAUGCAAUGCACAAGCAGCUUCGGAUGAAAGCGGCUCACUUCAAGAGCAGGUGAAGCAAGUAGGGACAAUGUUGAAGACGUUUGCUUUCACUGGGCAAUCAGGUACAAUUUGCAAACAACACCUGUGGUUGUUAGUUUAAUACCUGUACAUGUAGUAGACCUAGAUAUAAAUGUUGUAGUUUAGUUACGCGUUUCCUGAAAGGAGCAUCUGACCGUGAAGGCAGAAAAAGGUGCCGCACAGCUGAGAAGGACCCACAGCCGACCCCUUAAACCUAGGCUGACUACUGACACCCCAGCAUCACUGAACUGGAACACUUUAUUUAUCCUGCAGUCAGUAACAUUAAGAAGCCAAAAGUGCCAGACUACACUCACCAAAUCCACCCUGUUUUUGUUUUUGUAUUUUAACUUUAGUAUUGGCUUAUUUCAUUCUGUCUUAACGAUUCUAUUAUAGUUUGUAAAUCCUAUUUCAUACCUGUUACUUGAUAUUGCAAAUUAACUAGUACCAAAAUUCUACUUUCAUUUCAUCAGUGUGCUUAACUG
ensembl:lncRNA